UCUGAAUGUGCUCUAAUGUUUCAAAGUAUUUAUUGAACAUGAUAUCUAUUAAAAGUCACAAUCACUGAUUCAGCACUGAUCACUAGAGUAAUGAGUGCAAAAUUAUACCUAGGAGCAAAUUCUAUGUUAAUAUCUCUUCCAUUAAUCUAUUGAGAUUUUUUAUCUUUCCCAAUCUUGUUCACUUGUUGAAGAAUUACAGCAGGUAAUGUGCUAAACUUGUGUCCAGCUCCAUUCCCACCCCAACUGGGAGGACUUCAGAGCCUUGAGAAUAUAUCUGUAGAUCCUGGUUCACAGCUAUAAAUCCUAACCUACAAAUCAAGGUCAUCUGGACUGAAUAUAUCAAGAGAAGCUGUCUCUAUUCAGGAGGACUAAACAUUGUUCAACAAGAACAGUUCAGACGUGCUUGGACAAGAAAAAGCUAUAAUGGAUCAGCAACAUUCAAUACCGAGAGAGCGAAGAGAACUCCAGAAGCAAUGAAAGAAAGGAAAGAAAUAACAUCAGGAGGAUGUCAGUUUGCACAAAAAGUAGUGAAAAAAAAGAACAUGAAAGCAAAGCUUAGCAAAGAAUUAAACCAUAAAAGAAGGCUGGGUGAGAUGCUAGUCCAGCUGGACAACAUUUACAUUCCAAGCAGCUUUCCCAUGAUUUACUCUGAACACAUGGUGAGGUCAUGACUAUCAAAUAACUCUACUCCAGAUUCACAUAUCUUUGUUCCUGAAAAGAAAUUUGAAGGACAAAAGAUUAAAAACUGGUCAUUUAAAGAAGAGUUUUAAUAUAUCACAGAAGUGCAUAACAUCUUCUAUCCAGGAGGAUUUUCAAAAUAUUUCUAUAGAGAAAUCAUUUUCUCCUUCAUUGACUUUGCAACGAUAUUUGAUAUGUUGGGAUGAAACCGAAGAUGAGGUUCCCAUAACAUCUAGUUGAAUUUUCAUGUAAGCUCUGGUGUAAUAAAAAAUAUUUGUAAAAGCUGAAAGCA
rnacentral:lncRNA from 1 species